AGCCCAGCUGGGGUGGUAAAUAGAGUACAGUGUCUCCCGAGGAAGCCUUCUACACCUCGGGGCUUUGAGCAUCCCUAAAACCACAGCCACCGAGGCCAGGUCUGCGCAGCGGAGGGAAAGCCACCACGGUCCCCUGCGCCCCACGGAAUAUCAGCAAGAUAGAAAGCAUUUCUGAAGAAAGUGAAAACGCACAUAAGUUUGCCGUCGCCAAGUGACGUCUGUAGUGUGAGUUGGGUCUCUUAAGAUAAGGAAAAGCUUUGUAAAAAACAAAACCAAAAUCACCCACGCGCGCAUUCAACGACAGGUUUAGUGUGGGAUCGUGCAACUCGGAGCAACGCAGGAGGCGUUGUUGUAAACUCGGUGAAGUGAGUGCUUAUUGGAACCUGUGCUGAUCGCUGAGGAGCUCUGAGCGCAGGACGCUUUCUGGCUUCCUUUUCUAGAAGGAGGAAGGGCUAUCUAUGAUAAUGAUCCUACGAAGCGGAAAUCAUUAGGAGAAUUUGCGUAUGGAAGCUGUAUUUACGUACACUGCCUUCCGAGGCUGCCAGUCUGUCCUCUGCAGUGUAGGUGGCAAAGUAAGGUGAUUAAUUAUGCACAAGUCGUGAUUUCUGGUGUCACAUUCCAGUCCUACUGUAUUUUUAAAGCUUUGUGACAGGUAGGUGGCUCCAGCCAGUGGUCGAUAUCUUCACAUUGUUGUUGUUUUGUUGCUGUUGUUGUUGUUGUUCUUUAAAUCUGUCAUGUACCAAGUUUGGACUCUUUUCAGCACUAGCCUUAGGGGCAGGUUCAGGUUGUUUCCUUCCCUCUUUUCCCCUAUUAAAUCUUGAAGAACUCAUUCUGCCAUCUACAUUUUCUACAAAGCUUGGAGUUACUUGCUCAAAUCCUUUUCAGUUAAUUCACACAUUAAUUCUAGCUUAACUGAAGACCAUGGUAAAUUAGUGUGUUGAAAACCAUAUUUCUCUAGAAUACAAUAAGCUAGAAAAUCUGAGACAACCUGAUAUCUCUAAGUAUCUUAUGUUUUGUCUCAAUCUCCUUUGCACUUGGCGGGGGGGGGGGGGCCAGAACUGGAUAAAAAGCAAAGUUUAAUAAUGGGGACACAGUAUUUUUUCCAUCAAUUAAUGAUUAACUCUUCAGCUGGUGGCCCGAGGGUCUGGUCUCUGACACCAGUUGCCGCCAUGCGCCUGCCUCAGGGCUUCUCUCCAGGGAGGAAGAGCUGGUGGCAACGAGGUGGGUGUCACUUUCAGAAAAUCCAGCCGCUUUGGUUUUGGAGGAUGGAAGUGGAUGGUUCUCUGACCCGCAGAGAAAUCUGCUCAGGGCCUGGCCGGGAAAAUGAAGCCUGCAAUUCUGUUCCUGACAGUAUUCGAUUAAAAACCUCUCCUCUGAUAAUAAGUCUGGAAAUGAUUUCAUACCCGAGUCCCCCACAGUUCGAGCCUUUUGAUGUACUUUGUGUGCAUGUGUUUCUGUCACAUACGUGCCACAGUGGAACAGAUUUUGUUUUGACACUAUUUUGGUUCAUGAUGUUAUACUUUGACUAUUUUA
ensembl:lncRNA